rnacentral:lncRNA from 1 species
UCUGCUUUGAUUCCCACUGGAGAGCUGCUUUAGAGGAGUUCAACGCCUCUGCCCUGCCUGUCUGACUCCUCCACUGGGCACCUGGUGGACCGAGCCUCAGGAAGGUCCGCUUCAGCCCUGUCCAUCCGGAACUUCUGGAUCUGUCAACAGGGAUGGAUUUACCUGCACGAUCUACCUCUCCA